UCGGACGUGGUGCAUGGUGCACGCCUCCACACACUAUGGCCCUGGGAAAACGUAGUGCAGUUUGUGGCGCAAGUCCUGGGUUCGACUCCCAGCGUCCGAA